rnacentral:misc_RNA from 1 species
AUUACACAUUUUAUUGCCAUUUACUAGGUGAGAGUUAGUCGUCCAUAGCUUUUUGCUUAGUCGUCCAUAGCUUUUUGCUUCGAAUAAGCGAAUGUAGGAAAGAAUCAAAUAGUUUAGCUUCUUUUAAUUGAAAUUUCAUAUGUUUAUGCAAUCAUUUAUGUUGUUAGCCCUCUUCUUCUUCUUUUCCUGAUUCCUGUUAGACAGUUCUCAGUUGUUCUGAUAAAUGGGGAAGGACCAGUUUUAUGCCCGUUUAU